AUGUAUGUAUGUGUGUAUAUAUAUGUGUGUGUGUGUGUGUAUAUAAUAUAUAUAUGGUGGUUGUCUACUCCUUAUGCAGAAUCCAACCACCUCUUGUACCUACACGUUAGACCCAUCAUUGCAUCUGAUAUGGCUUUUUAAACCAGA